AUAAGCACUUGGCCUUCUUGCUUCCAGUGUGUUUCCCCAGGUCAUACUGUCCAUGGCAGACAUAACCAAUAAAUGAUGAGUUUCCUCUUCACUGAGCCUGGACUCAGCUUCAUGAACACUUUCAGCAAAGCAGGACAACACAAUUUUUGGAGCCUCUGAGCUCUUUUCCCUGUGAAGAACAACUACCAUUUCAUCCUGGACACCCAUUGUUUGCCUGGACCACACCUUGCUAUGACCAUAACCCUCAGUCAGGCUCAGUCUUCCUUCAAGAUCUGCAGGCUUUCUAGGACAGCUUGUGAUAUGGCCAAGGGCUGUCUCUUCAGCCUCACAGCUCAACACUCUUCAAGGGUGGUAAUAAAUCAACAAUACUGAACUCCGCGGGGCUCCACGGACCCAGGGGCUUGUCUCCAAACUCUAGAGUUUGUACAUGCUGCUCUCUUAUCCUGAAGUAUC